GAAACUCGCGUGGAAAGAAAUUCAAGGCGACAGCAGCACCAUCAUCAACAGCGCGGCCCAAGAUGGUCGGCAAGUGCGAAACGAGGUGGAAACAUAGUUAAAACAACGGCCGAAAAGAAAAAUUGCCAUCCCAACGGAGGACAGAAGGCGACCGAUCGAAGGUGUCCCGUCAGCCAGGAGGCAGGUGCAGGCAGGAAGCGAUCUACAUUUUUGAUGCGAACAGCGGCCGAACGACCCGGCAAGCGAAGGCGAUAGACGGAACUUGAUCUACGGUCGAUCCUUUCGAAGCGCUAGAACCCAAGUUGAUAACGGUGUAAUCGGGUGGACCAGCAUCAUCAUCGCGACAUCGUGGAAAGGUCCCAAAGACGCGACAACAGAUAAUCCGUGAAGAAUCCAUAAAAUCGUCUCGGUCCAGCUUCGCCGUGCCACGUUCUAUCCGAUCGAAAGGGAAAGGGCAACAGUUGGUGGACAGGUCGUAGUUCAAGUCACCAGCCGCAGAAGACAGACCUGUCACAACACGGAAGAAGGGGCCCUUACGAAGGUGUCAACAACGACGUGUCGUCGUGGUGCGACACAUGUAACCGAGUGUACCCUCCGGUGGGGGGAUCUGACCCGAGCUCGCUCGAGCGGGGGACAGUGAGAUGAUGAUCGUCUGCCACAACCUCCAGCGCGCCUGGACCUAGAGCACCGUUGCCGUUGUUGGCUGAGCAGGAACCAGCAAACGGAUCGAUUCGAUGCACCCCGUCGGGCCGGGAGUGAGAGAGAGUCGUGUGAAAAACGGGAAUCGAAUCGCGCCUUGCCAGAAGCGGGCCUAAAGCUGUGAAAAGCAAGACAAAGAAAACGGCAAAGAGAAGCGCAAACGCAUGAACGCGUGAGAGAGAAAAGAGAAACGAACACAACAACGAUAACGACAGCAUAAAAGGAGUAAAGAGAAAGAAACAAACACAGCAACACAGAAGAAGUAACAAAUGGUAAAAAAAGAAUAAAAGCAAAAAAAGAGAAAUGCAAACAAACUAAGAACAGCGCGCCCAAACAGAAAGGGGAGGCGAAAGCGAAACGCGUGAGAAUUGAGCAGUCAUCGAUCGAUCACCGAUCGAGUGCGCGAGCCGCGCGCUAGGAAAGCGAACUGGAACUAUUUCCGUAUUCUACCGGAACUCACCGGAUUUCCGGCUCACCAGUGAGAGUGGUGCGUGGUGAAAUCGAUCCGAACCGAGGCGGUCGAAAGUGCUGUGCUAUCUAUCAACGUGAUCUUCUUCCUGACCGGUCGUGUGCGUUGGGUGUGCGAUCAAUUGUUAGUGUAAUACUUGUAAGGUGGUGGAGUGUUUUGAGUCGAUCAAACAUCGAACCUCUCGAACAGCAGCAGCUGUAAGUGUCAGUUCCACGUGUAUCGUCUUUGUGAAUUGUCUGCUUCGAUCAACUAACGCUUGCAACAGAUCAUAGCUGUUGGCGACUCCGGACCCCCCCUCGUUUUACUGGGCAGACAGUAUGUUUUAGCGUGUAAAUGACUUCCUUGCACCG